GGGCCUGUAGUGUAGCUUGGAUAUCACUGAGGCCUCCGGAGCCUCGAACCUGGGUUCGAAUCCUACCAUCUCCG
rnacentral:tRNA from 1 species